rnacentral:rRNA from 1 species
GAUGAACGCUGGCGGCGUGCCUAAUACAUGCAAGUCGAGCGAACGGACGAGAAGCUUGCUUCUCUGAUGUUAGCGGCGGACGGGCGAGUAACACGUGGAUAACCUACCUAUAAGACUGGGAUAACUUCGGGAAACCGGAGCUAAUACCGGAUAAUAUUUUGAACCGCAUGGUUCAAAAGUGAAAGACGGUCUUGCUGUCACUUAUAGAUGGAUCCGAGCUGCAUUAGCUAGUUGGUAAGGUAACGGCUUACCAAGGCAACGAUGCAUAGCCGACCUGAGAGGGUGAUCGGCCACACUGGAACUGAGACACGGUCCAGACUCCUACGGGAGGCAGCAGUAGGGAAUCUUCCGCAAUGGGCGAAAGCCUGACGGAGCAACGCCGCGUGAGUGAUGAAGGUCUUCGGAUCGUAAAACUCUGUUAUUAGGGAAGAACAUAUGUGUAAGUAACUGUGCACAUCUUGACGGUACCUAAUCAGAAAGCCACGGCUAACUACGUG